GUGAAUCAUCGAAUCUUUGAACGCACAUUGCGCCCGCCAGUAUUCUGGCGGGCAUGCCUGUUCGAGCGUCAUUUCAACCAUCAAGCCCCGGGCUUGUGUUGGGGACCUGCGGCUGCCGCAGGCCCUGAAAACCAGUGGCGGGCUCGCUAGUCACUCCGAGCGUAGUAGUUUACACCUCGCUCAGGGCGUGCUGCGGGUUCCGGCCGUUAAAAGCCUUAUUUUACCCAAGGUUGACCUCGGAUCAGGUAGGAAGACCCGCUGAACUUAAGCAUAUCAAUAAGCGGAGGA
rnacentral:misc_RNA from 1 species